rnacentral:rRNA from 1 species
UACGUAGGGUGCAAGCGUUGUCCGGAAUUAGUGGGCGUAAAGAGCUCGUAGGCGGCUUGUCGCGUCGGCUGUGAAAACCUGGGGCUCAACCCCGGGCCUGCAGCCGAUACGGGCAAGCUAGAAUUCGGUAGGGGAGACUGGAAUUCCUGGUGUAGCGGUGAAAUGCGCAGAUAUCAGGAGGAACACCGGUGGCGAAGGCGGGUCUCUGGGCCGAUAUUGACGCUGAGGAGCGAAAGCGUGGGGAGCGAACAGG